UAGGGAAUUUUCGGCAAUGGGGGAAACCCUGACCGAGCAAUGCCGCGUGAAUGAAGAAGGUCUUCGGACUGUAAAAUUCUGUUAUUUGUGGAAGAAAGGUAGUUGGAGGAAAUGCCAAUUACUUGACGGUACCAAAUGAGAAAGCCCCGGCUAACUAUGUGCCAGCAGCCGCGGUAAUACAUAGGGGGCGAGCGUUAUCCGGAAUUAUUGGGCGUAAAGCGUGCGUAGGUGGUCAGUUAAGUCUGGCGUGAAAUUCCCUGGCUUAACCAGGGGGGGUCGUUGGAAACUGGCUGACUUGAAUCCAGAAGGGGUAAGUGGAAUUCCAUGUGUAGCGGUAAAAUGCAUAGAGAUAUGGAGGAACACCAGUGGCGAAGGCGGCUUACUGGUCUGGAAUUGACACUGAGGCACGAAAGCGUGGGUAGCAAACAGG
rnacentral:rRNA from 2 species